rnacentral:snRNA from 1 species
UCUUUUGCUGAGAGACUAUAC